rnacentral:rRNA from 1 species
UGGGGAAUUUUCCGCAAUGGGCGAAAGCCUGACGGAGCAAUACCGCGUGAGGGAUGACGGCCCGUGGGUUGUAAACCUCUUUUCUCAAGGAAGAAGUUCUGACGGUACUUGAGGAAUAAGCAUCGGCUAACUCUGUGCCAGCAGCCGCGGUAAUACAGAGGAUGCAAGCGUUAUCCGGAAUCACUGGGCAUAAAGCGUCUGUAGGUUGUUUAGUAAGUCUGCUGUUAAAGACUAGGGCCUAACCCUAGGAAAGCAGUGGAAACUGCUAGACUUGAGUAUGGUAGAGGUAGAGGGAAUUCCUAGUGUAGCGGUGAAAUGCGUAGAUAUUAGAAAGAACACCAGUGGCGAAA